rnacentral:rRNA from 1 species
UGCAAGUCGAGCGGAUGAAGGGAGCUUGCUCCUGGAUUCAGCGGCGGACGGGUGAGUAAUGCCUAGGAAUCUGCCUGGUAGUGGGGGAUAACGUCCGGAAACGGGCGCUAAUACCGCAUACGUCCUGAGGGAGAAAGUGGGGGAUCUUCGGACCUCACGCUAUCAGAUGAGCCUAGGUCGGAUUAGCUAGUUGGUGGGGUAAAGGCCUACCAAGGCGACGAUCCGUAACUGG